rnacentral:rRNA from 1 species
GACGAACGCUGGCGGCGUGCUUAACACAUGCAAGUCGAACGGAAAGGCCCUGCUUUUGUGGGGUGCUCGAGUGGCGCACGGGUGAGUAACACGUGAGUAACCUGCCCUUGACUUUGGGAUAACUUCAGGAAACUGGGGCUCAUACCGGAUAGGAGCUCCUGCUGCAUGGUGGGGGUUGGAAAGUUUCGGCGGUUGGGGAUGGACUCGCGGCUUAUCAGCUUGUUGGUGUGGUAGUGGUUUACCAAGGGUUUGAGGGGUAGCCGGCCUGGGAGGGUGACCGGCCACAUUGGGACUGAGGUACGGCCCAGAAGGGUACGGGAGGCAGCAGUGGAGAACAUUGCACAGUGGGCGGAAGCGUGAUGCAGCAACGCCGCGUGCGGGAUGACGGCCUUUGGGUUGUAAACCGCUUUCGCCUGUGACGAAGCGUGAGUGACGGUAAUGGGUAAAGAAGCACCGGCUAACUACGUG